GCUUGUAGGGGGGAUGGAUUUGCUGUUAAAAACUGAAGGAUGACAAGGUGUCACUUUCAUUCCCUCUUUACCGCUUCCAUGGAAGUCACAGCCCCCGAGCAGAUUAAAGCAUGACCCACAGGUGUAAUAGAUUUUAACUCUGGAAUUUCAGUUCUUCAGUGUCCCACCGAGUUUUCUCUGAGGGAGUCAUUUAAUCAACCACUUCACUGCCUGCAGGUUGACACUGAUGCCUGUCACAUGUACCAUAAGCCAUAGGAGUGACCAGAGCUGCCCAGACGGACCGCCCGGGCCCAGUCCUGGUAUUGUCAGCAGAUUACCCUUAAAGGAGAAAGAAGCUGGAGCUGGGAUAUAAAGUAGUCUUCUAGGAGUACUGCCAGAACCGAUCUGUUUUUACUCUGCUGCUGCUGCUGUUGCUGUUCUGCUGUGUCAUGGGAAGAGAGUUACCUAGCCCACACCAACCCUCAGAAACAGCAAUGAGCCACUUGCUGCAAACUCGAGCUGUGUUUUAUAGGGCUGAAGGAUGAGUUUUCCUGGUGCAGGAUUUCAACUGGAAGAAGAAGGAUUCACUCCCUUGCUGGGCUCCGACAGGGACAUCGCUGUUGGGAGACUUGCAGGAGGCAGAGUGGCGGCGGCAGCACUGACAGUGCAGCAUCACACAGCUUUAUUUCAUGUUGUCGAGGCAAAAUGCUUUAGGUUACAGCUGAGGAGAAAAGCAAAACGAUCCAUUUUUGUAAAUAGGGUUCUUUUUCCCCAAUUUACUUUAAAUUCUUGAAAGGUCUUGUGCUAAGAAAGAGCAGGAAUUCUGCCUCCUCUUAAAAAGCAUUGUUAUAAAAUCUUUACAGUCUCCUUCCACCUGAGCCUGUUUCCUUCAAACUCUUGCUUUCAAAAACAAGAGGUUUAAAGGUGACUCUUCUCUUUCCCUUCCUAAGUUUAUGUUCCUUGGAAAGGCCUGAAUAAGCCAAAGGCUGUGUCUGCCUGUGAAUGAAGAAGUUUUGAGUAAACACCAGCAUGCACGUAUACACACAUGCACAGGAUUUAAAGCAUCCCAUUGAAGUGCACAUAUAGGAAAAUCUUUCAUCAUAUGGUAGGCUUUAAUAUCUGCCUUAAAAUUAAUCCCUGACUGAUGGACUCUGUUGUGGCAGAUCACAGGAGGCUCAGUACUGAGGUUCUCUGCAGGGUUUUAAAACAGCCAAAUAAAAUCCCCCCAUUUGCUUUUGGGUUAAUUUGUGGUUUAACAGCAGCUACCUGGGAAAUGCUCAUCUUGUGAGAGCAAGUAAGAAAACUUUAUAAGGCUCCAGUCCUAUUUUUCCACAACGAAAUAAAGACCUUUCUUAUGGGGUCAGGACAAGAUCUGAUGCUAUUCCACGAGGAAAUGGUUAAAGCACCCUGCAGAGUUCUUCAGUUCCUCUGUUAGAGGUAACACCCCUGGGCUUUAUUAGAGCUCGAGCUUCGGACACGGUUCUGGUUACUUCUCAGCAUUGUCUUUGCUUCAUUUUGGUUAGUUUUUGUCACUGAAAACAAAUCUUCUCGUUUCACUUCUCUUUCUAAUUUAUUUCACUCUUUAGUUCCCACAUGUUAGAAAGUGCAGUUUCAUUUCGGCUCUUGACAGCAGAAAGCCCCAUUCCAGAAAGCAAUUUUCAGCAAUGUAUUUGCUUUGCCACUCACUGCGCAAACAGAUCUAAGCAUAAACAAUGCUGACAGGCCCUCAAAACCAAGCCCAAAUUGUGAAACUGGGGCAAAUAGCCUAGAGAACCUGAAAUGUUUUGGGUUUAAAACACUGCCUGCUGUCAAAAAGAGGGUAAAAUAAAGCUUUGUUUACGUGUAGAGCUCAGUGUUUGUUGAUCAAGUUUCUAAGGUGAUGUAGCAGGAAGUACUGAUCUUAGGCAAAAUGACAUGAACAAAGCAUGAAACUAUAAUUCAGCAGCUAUUUGUCAACUAAUAACAGGAAAAUAAAGGAUGUUUAAAAAGC